rnacentral:rRNA from 1 species
UACGUAGGGUGCAAGCGUUGUCCGGAAUUAUUGGGCGUAAAGAGCUCGUAGGCAGUCUGUCGCGUCGGAAGUGAAAACCCGGGGCUCAACCCCGGGCCUGCUUUCGAUACGGGCAGACUAGAGUUCGGCAGGGGAGACUGGAAUUCCUGGUGUAGCGGUGAAAUGCGCAGAUAUCAGGAGGAACACCGGUGGCGAAGGCGGGUCUCUGGGCCGAUACUGACGCUGAGGAGCGAAAGCGUGGGGAGCGAACAGG